CGCAUACCAUGAAUCAUGCUGCAAAUUUGAUUACAAUAAGAACUAAUUUUCUUUUAAAAGAAAGACAUAAUUAACAUGUCAACAAGUAUGGUCCUGAUAAAUAAAGCAACCACCCAAGUUUCAAAAAUUUAUGAUACCACUCAUAUUACUAGAGAAAACAGAGCUUUAUGAAGAGUAACAGAUCAAGAAUCAAAUAAUUUGCUGAAACACUUCAUUAUAGUUUAUACCCAUGGUAUACGUGGCCUACAGAUUUACUGUGCAACAGUGACGGGUGUACUACCACAAAUGGGGGAUGCAUUUCUGCAAAUGGAAAGUCAACUGCUGUGCAGUGUAGGAGAAUCAAGUAGUUGACUAACUGUGCAUUUGGCUAAGGAAUAUAAGACGUCCAUUCCACAAAAAAUAGUAUAUAAUAGACAUUGGGACAAUUAUGCGGGAGAAUAAAAGAAAAACAGAAGUAGAAUAUUCAUAUUCUCCCUCUAAAUUUUUCCAAAAGAUCAAUGCAGCAAAUUCUAUUAAUCUAGUACUACGAAUGUAGCAGAAUUUCACAUACCCAUCUCCAUCAAACCAGUGGUAU
rnacentral:misc_RNA from 1 species